AGCUCACAACACAAAAUUUUAUUCUUUUAUUUUCUCUCAAAAAUUUCUUCACGAAAAUUGUCGGGAAUAUUGCGUAGAACGUUAAACUCUAUUUGCAUGUACGAUCAAGAUCCAGCGAGUUUUGUCGCGGAAACCGGCGAGCGAAGGUUUUGAUAUUUCAACGGGUGAUAUUUUUAUAUUUGGAAUAGGCGAGUACUGUGAGUGUGUUUACAACUUAUACUGCUAAAUAUUAGUAUUAAAAAUAUUGCGAACUGCUUUA